UACGUAGGGUGCAGGCGUUAAUCGGAAUUACUGGGCGUAAAGCGUGCGCAGGCGGCCUCUUAAGUCAGAUGUGAAAUCCCCGGGCUCAACUCGGGAACUGCGUUUGAAACUGGGAGGCUAGAGUACGGCAGAGGGGGGUGGAAUUCCACGUGUAGCAGUGAAAUGCGUAGAUAUGUGGAGGAACACCGAUGGCGAAGGCAGCCCCCUGGGCCUGUACUGACGCUCAUGCACGAAAGCGUGGGUAGCAAACAGG
rnacentral:rRNA from 1 species